rnacentral:rRNA from 1 species
GACGAACGCUGGCGGCGUGCUUAACACAUGCCAGUCGAACGAUGAACCCGGAGCUUGCUCUGGGGGAUUAGUGGCGAACGGGUGAGUAACACGUGAGUAACCUGCCCUGGACUCUGGGAUAAGCGUUGGAAACGACGUCUAAUACCGGAUAGGACCUUGGAUCGCAUGAUCUGGGGUGGAAAGUUUUUUCGGUCUGGGAUGGACUCGCGGCCUAUCAGCUUGUUGGUGAGGUAAUGGCUCACCAAGGCGUCGACGGGUAGCCGGCCUGAGAGGGUGACCGGCCACACUGGGACUGAGACACGGCCCAGACUCCUACGGGAGGCAGCAGUGGGGAAUAUUGCACAAUGGGCGAAAGCCUGAUGCAGUAACGCCGCGUGCGGGAUGACGGCCUUCGGGUUGUAAACCGCUUUUAGUAGGGAAGGAGGGCUUCGGCUUGACGGUACCUGCAGAAAAAGGACCGGCUAACUACGUG